GAUGAAGAACGCAGCGAAAUGCGAUAAGUAAUGUGAAUUGCAGAAUUCAGUGAAUCAUCGAAUCUUUGAACGCACAUUGCGCCCCUUGGUACUCCAUGGGGCAUGCCUGUUCGAGCGUCAUUUACACCCUCAAGCUCAGCUUGGUGUUGGGCGUCUGUCCCGCUUCGUGCGCGGACUCGCCUCAAAUGCAUUGGCAGCGGUCUUGCCAGCUUCUCGCGCAGCACAUUGCGCUUCUAGAGGCUUUGGCGGAUCGGCGUCCAUCAAGUACACCCACAGUUUGACCUCGGAUCAGGUAGGGAUACCCGCUGAACUUAAGCAUAUCAAUAAGCGGAGGA
rnacentral:misc_RNA from 1 species